GGGGAAUAUUGCGCAAUGGGCGAAAGCCUGACGCAGCGACGCCGCGUGAGGGAUGAAGGUUUUCGGAUCGUAAACCUCUGUCAGAAGGGAAGAAACUACAUUGUGCUAAUCAGCAGUGUACUGACGGUACCUUCAAAGGAAGCACCGGCUAACUCCGUGCCAGCAGCCGCGGUAAUACGGAGGGUGCAAGCGUUAAUCGGAAUUACUGGGCGUAAAGCGCACGUAGGCUGUAGUGUAAGUCAGGGGUGAAAUCCCACGGCUCAACCGUGGAACUGCCUUUGAUACUGCACAACUUGAAUCCGGGAGAGGGUGGCGGAAUUCCAGGUGUAGGAGUGAAAUCCGUAGAUAUCUGGAGGAACAUCAGUGGCGAAGGCGGCCACCUGGACCGGUAUUGACGCUGAGGUGCGAAAGCGUGGGGAGCAAAC
rnacentral:rRNA from 1 species